UACGUAGGGUGCAAGCGUUGUCCGGAUUUACUGGGCGUAAAGAGCGCGUAGGCGGUCUGUUAAGUGUAGAGUGAAAUCUCCAGGGCUCAACCCGGAAACUGCUCUGCAUACUGGCAGACUUGAGGGACUGAGAGGUGAAUGGAAUUCCUGGUGUAGCGGUGAAAUGCGUAGAUAUCGGAAGGAACAUCAGUGGCGAAAGCGACUUCCUGGACCAGUACCGACGUUCAGGCACGAAAGCGUGGGGAGCAAACAGG
rnacentral:rRNA from 1 species